rnacentral:tRNA from 1 species
GCUACUGUAGCUCAGUCGGUAGAGCACAUCCUUGGUAAGGAUGAGGUCAUGGGUUCGAUUCCCAUUGGUAGCU